rnacentral:rRNA from 1 species
AUGCAAGAGCGCAGAGUGAUUGCUUAUGCCUCUCGUCAACUGCGCCCUCACGAAGAAAACUACCCAGUUCACGACCUCGAGCUUGCUGCUGUCAUUCAUGCUUUGAAGCAGUGGCGACAUUACCUUCUCGGUAAUCAUUGUGAGAUCUUCACCGACCACCAAAGUCUAAAGUAUCUGUUUACUCAACCAGACUUCAACCUCCGUCAGCAGAGAUGGAUGGAGACUGUUGCAGACUUUGACGUUGGUAUAUCCUAUACCCCAGGCAAGGCUAAUGUAAUGGUUGAUGCCUUGAGCCGCAAGUCUUACUUCAACCACCUCCAGGUUCACAAAGUUCAGCCCUCGCUUGUCGAAGAAUUUAGAAAGCUGAACCUUCAUAUUGUUCCUCCUGGUGCACUCGCUCCCCCUCCCCCAGAGUUUCAAAAGAUGAAUCUUCGUGUUGUUACUAAGGGUUCUCUAAAUACCCUGGCUGUCGUACCAGAUCUCAUAGAUGGUAUAAAGACUAUUCAAGGUUAUGACUUUGAAGUCCAGAAGAUUAAACGCCAUCUCGCAGAAGGAAAGCCCCCAUUCUUCACUAUCACCGAUGAUGGCGCCUUGUACUUCAAAGGCCGCCUAGUGGUACCAUGUUCGAGGAAAAACCUGGAUCAGACUAAAAAGGUUAUGAAAGAAGCUCAUGAUACGCCUCUGUCCAUCCAUCCUGGUAGUACAAAGAUGUAUCAGGAUAUUCAUCAGAGAUUCUGGUGGUAUAAUAAGAAGCAAGACAUUGCUCGUUAUGUUGCUGAGUGUGACAUUUGCCGUCGUAUCAAAGCUGAGCAUCAAAGGCCUGCUGGAACUCUGCAACCUAUCUCUAUUCCUGAAUGGAAAUGGGACCAUGUUGAAAUGGACUUUGUCACUGGAUUUCCCAAAUCGCGGAAAGGUAAUGAUGCUAUUCUUGUCGUCAUUGACCGGCUUUCUAAACUUGCACAUUUUCUGGUGGUCAAAGAAACAAUCACUGCUAGUCAGCUUGCAACUCUCUACAUGUCCAGAAUUGUUUCACUUCAUGGUAUUCCACUGGUUAUCAGUUCAGACCGUGGCAGCUUAUUCACUUCAAGAUUCUGGGCAAGUUUCCAAGAAGCUAUGGGAACUCAUCUAUCGUUUAGUACUGCGUUUCAUCCUCAGUCGCAAGGGCAGGUAGAACGUGUCAACCAAGUUCUCGAAGACAUGCUUCGAGCUUGUCUAAUUUCCUUCGGCAAGAAAUAG